GUGAAUCAUCGAAUUUUUGAACGCAUAUUGCACUCUCUGGUAUUCCGGAGAGUAUGCCUGUUUGAGGGUAAUUAAAAAUAAUCUUUAACCAAUUUUUUUGGUUAAAUGAUAUGAGUUCUCCGCGUUUAUAGCUGUAGCUUGAAAUAAAUGGUAGUCUCAUUUUAUUCUAGGUUCGUAAUAAUAUUAUUUCGUGAAAUCUUCAAUUUGUAACUAUCAAGUUUUGAUUCA
rnacentral:misc_RNA from 1 species